GGUGAUGGUGAUGAUGUUGACCCGCUCCUCCAUGAUCGACCAUGGAUUGAGCCAUACGGAAAAGGGUUUAUUCCAUCCAGGGUUGCUUCCCAGGCCAUCACACGAUCAAUUAAGCAACAGUAUUUGACUCCAUGGCCUACUUGGGGAGCAAUACCUAUAGACGACAGAAAGCCAUUUUGGGAGCGUUUUAAGAUGAAGGUGCAGUGGAAAGCUGAACAUGAAAGUCAAAUACAUAGAAAUUUUAACAUGAAAGCAUCUCAUUGGCUCUCAGAGAUGUUUAGGGAUGCCCGAAUUGCAGGGGAGCGCCCUUACUGGAUGGGCGAAAUCAUUUGGAACUCUUUGCUUGCACAUUGGAAUUCAGUAGAGUUUCGCAAGAGGAGUGCUACAAACUAGAGGAACAGAGCGAGUGAAA